CUGUAAAAAGGGGUCUUCGUCUCCAACGGUUCGAACCCCUGAUCCCAUUGUUCUUCACCAUUUCGAAGUUUCAAAUCUCGAGAUCUCUCUCCCUAGUGCAUCCCCCAAGUCAAUACUUUGAGAAAGGGUUGAGAAGAGCUCGAUCUAGGGUUUCACCAAAUCAAAAGUUGAUUCCCCUCGUUUAUUUUGGUGGAUUUUGUUACUCUUGGGAUUUUGGAAUCUCUAGCCGAAAGGUGUCUCCUCAAGGCCACCAAUCUUGUGAGAUGGUACUUGUGGAUUCGGGAAGGAGCCUCCAAUUGAGUUGUGGAGUCAUGCCCUUGUCCUUGUUUGUAAAGGUUUGGCUUUCGCCUUCAAGAAAGCCAUUAGUGGAGCUCACAUCACCUUUUUCGUGUCGUGAGAGGAGAAUAGAGUGAACCUUUGUGGAGCCUCUACCUUUGUGGUAGAGCACUCUUCCAAACGUAGACGUACACCUUCCGAAAUGGUUGAACUCCGGGAUACAUCUUCGUCUCCCGUGUGGUAUCUUCUUACCCUUUGCUUACUUGUCCUUACUUAAUUGUCUAUCCUUGCUUCGGCUAUUGCACUUCAUAUUAGGGUUGCAUUCACUUUAGAGAAUUUAGUAAGCCCUAUGAUUAAGUGUUUGUAUCUUUCAAGAAAAGAAAAAGAAAAAAAAUUCAAAUUUGCUAGUCGCCUAUUCAACCCCCCUCUAGUCGACCAUAUCGAUCUUUCAGAUAUGGACACACCAUUAGAUAUUGGCAUAAUAAACGGAGUAAAUUUCAAGGAACCACUGUUUUGGGGCAGUCGUCGCACUAACUUCCAGUUUUUUCUAAUUUGCCAAUGAAAUCAUACAUUUUUGGUCAGAGUGUCUCAACUAGCCCAAAAUGCAAGUUUAAGCAUGUCUGACGGGAUUCCUUACGGGUGGCCCUCACCUGUCAGGUGGACCAAGGAGAGGAGAAGUACCAUUUAGUAUGUUGGCCAUUAUCUGCCAACCUAAAGAUCAAGGGGGGCCAUGCGA
rnacentral:lncRNA from 1 species